CAGCCCACGGGGGAUUCCCCCCAAUUGGGGGCUAACCCUAAAUGCCAGCCCAUGCCCGGUGGUUAUGAAAGCAGGCCUUCCGGGUUGAUAAAGUACCUUCCAGCGGGGGAGGAAGGGGGUCAAGGUUAAUACCUUUGGUUCAUUGAACGUUACCCGCCAGAAGAAGCCCCCGGGUUAAAUUCGUGCCAAGCAGCCGGCGGUAAUACGGAGGGUGCAAGCGUUAAUCGGAAUUUACUGGGCGUAAAGCGCACGCAGGCGGUUUGUUAAGUUCAGAUGUGAAAUCCCCCGGGCUCAACCUGGGAACUGCAUCUGAUACUGGCAAGCUUGAGUCUCGUAGAGGGGGGUAGAAUUCCAGGUGUAGCGGUGAAAUGCGUAGAGAUCUGGAGGAAUACCGGUGGCGAAGGCGGCCCCCUGGACGAAGACUGACGCUCAGGUGCGAAAGCGUGGGGAGCAAACAGGAUUAGAUACCCUGGUAGUCCACGCCGUAAACGAUGUCGACUUGGAGGUUGUGCCCUUGAGGCGUGGCUUCCGGAGCUAACGCGUUAAGUCGACCGCCUGGGGAGUACGGCCGCAAGGUUAAAACUCAAAUGAAUUGACGGGGGCCCGCACAAGCGGUGGAGCAUGUGGUUUAAUUCGAUGCAACGCGAAGAACCUUACCUGGUCUUGACAUCCACGGAAGUUUUCAGAGAUGAGAAUGUGCCUUCGGGAACCGUGAGACAGGUGCUGCAUGGCUGUCGUCAGCUCGUGUUGUGAAAUGUUGGGUUAAGUCCCGCAACGAGCGCAACCCUUAUCCUUUGUUGCCAGCGGUCCGGCCGGGAACUCAAAGGAGACUGCCAGUGAUAAACUGGAGGAAGGUGGGGAUGACGUCAAGUCAUCAUGGCCCUUACGACCAGGGCUACACACGUGCUACAAUGGCGCAUACAAAGAGAAGCGACCUCGCGAGAGCAAGCGGACCUCAUAAAGUGCGUCGUAGUCCGGAUUGGAGUCUGCAACUCGACUCCAUGAAGUCGGAAUCGCUAGUAAUCGUGGAUCAGAAUGCCACGGUGAAUACGUUCCCGGGCCUUGUACACACCGCCCGCCACACCAAGGAGUCGGUUGUAAACCCCUCCUAAGUAGUAAGUAGCACAAGUAUGUCGCAGAGUGGCGGCCC
rnacentral:rRNA from 1 species